AACGCGAAGAACCUUACCAAAUCUUGACAUCCUUUGAAAACUCUAGAGAUAGAGCCUUCCCCUUCGGGGGACAAAGUGACAGGUGGUGCAUGGUUGUCGUCAGCUCGUGUCGUGAGAUGUUGGGUUAAGUCCCGCAACGAGCGCAACCCUUAAGCUUAGUUGCCAUCAUUAAGUUGGGCACUCUAGGUUGACUGCCGGUGACAAACCGGAGGAAGGUGGGGAUGACGUCAAAUCAUCAUGCCCCUUAUGAUUUGGGCUACACACGUGCUACAAUGGACAAUACAAAGGGCAGCUAAACCGCGAGGUCAUGCAAAUCCCAUAAAGUUGUUCUCAGUUCGGAUUGUAGUCUGCAACUCGACUACAUGAAGCUGGAAUCGCUAGUAAUCGUAGAUCAGCAUGCUA
rnacentral:rRNA from 1 species